rnacentral:rRNA from 1 species
GUAGGGAAUCUUCGGCAAUGGACGAAAGUCUGACCGAGCAACGCCGCGUGAGUGAAGAAGGUUUUCGGAUCGUAAAACUCUGUUGUUAGAGAAGAACGUUGUGUAGAGUGGAAAAUUACACAAGUGACGGUAUCUAACCAGAAAGGGACGGCUAACUACGUGCCAGCAGCCGCGGUAAUACGUAGGUCCCGAGCGUUGUCCGGAUUUAUUGGGCGUAAAGCGAGCGCAGGUGGUUUAAUAAGUCUGAUGUAAAAGGCAGUGGCUCAACCAUUGUGUGCAUUGGAAACUGUUAGACUUGAGUGCAGUAGAGGAGAGUGGAAUUCCAUGUGUAGCGGUGAAAUGCGUAGAUAUAUGGAGGAACACCGGUGGCGAAAGCGGCUCUCUGGACUGUAACUGACACUGAGGCUCGAAAGCGUGGGUAGCAAACAGGAUUAGAAACCCUAGUAGUCC